GGAAACCCAUCAGGGAGUUGUUCCAACGUGGAGAGAGAGAGAGAGAGAGAGAGAGAGAGAGAGAGAGAGAGACGGUGGAAAGAAGAGGUGGAAGGGUGAUUGAAACCUCAAUUCAGUAGGUUCGGAGGCGACAAUGAGUACCGCAGCUCCACGUAGGGAGUGACUGCGUUGGUUUUCUUUUUUGUUGGAGACCGAGUUUUGCAGGUAUAGGUCGGUGUCCACUACAGGUCGCGUUUUGCAUUUUGUGACUCGCUCGAGAAGUGCGUAGUUGAGGCCUGUGGGAGUCCUUGUCUCCUGGCCCGUAGAUGAUUUUUGCUUAGUUUAGUUUUGGAUAUUAGUUGGUUAUGUUUAUUUCUUGACAGACUUCCGCUGUAGUUUGUAAAUGACAAUCAUUUUUGAGAUGUAAAUAAAAUGUGGCUUUUAAACUUCAA